UAUGUACAUAUAAACAUACAUGAAACAAAAAGUAGUCUAUUUAUAAUCAUAAUAAGGCUGCACGCUGUACCUGAUCUCUGUUUUCUUUAUAUACCAUCAGAAGCACGUCACUCAUCCUCAUAGCUACUUGAGAUACAUAACUAACUGUCUCUGUGCUUCAUGUAGGGUCCGCCAGGGGUACCUGGCCCACCUGGUCCUAGAGGAGUGGAUGGGGCUCCUGGUCUGACUGGUGGCCAAGGACCAGCUGGUGCUAAAGGCCCAGAGGGACUCCAGGGACAGAAGGGAGAGAGAGGUCCAAUUGGUCCCGCCAUGGUGGGUCCACGCGGUAUUCCAGGGAUCCCGGGGGAGCGAGGAGAGCCGGUUAGUGUCGCACUAAGUCUCCUGGGUAUUCUCUUGACAACUCAUUUUUGAUAGGAAACUGCUUACUGAAAUUAGGGAAAUUCUCUGAACUCAUCAAAAACAUCAAACAGCACUGAAUUACCUGUUGAACUUUAGUAUUAGAUACUUAACCAAAUGCCAAAUGCAUCAUUCAGGGAGAAUAAAUUCUCUUGUUCUUGUGAGCUCCUCAGCGACAGACUUCAUCACUUUGACAGUUAAAUUUGCAUGUAUCAAAAACUGUUUUAUUUAGUAUGACAACCCUGCAUUAAUAUAGCUUUCUUAGCUUUAAGAAUGUACAUUUUUGGUAGAGACAAGGGCACAAAACAUCGAGACUGAGAAAUAAAAUACAUCACAUUUUUUACGUAUGUCACUAUUGCUGAUUUAACCUUUCACUUUGACUUUGCAUUUAGUUCACGGGCUGCACCUGGUCUCAGUCUAAUGAAUGAAUGUGCUGCAAGCUUCUGUGGUUCGUGUGUGUCCUAAUACCUGUCCAUGUUGCAGGGAGAGUUGGGCCCAGAGGGAACCAAGGGAGACAGAGGAGAGCCAGGCAUGACGGAGGAUGAAGUCAGAGACUACGUUCGCUCAGAGAUGAAUCAGCACUGUGGUGAGUCUUUCAUGCAGCUUGUAUUGCUAAUUUAUAACAGAGUUGUCCCCAAGUUGAACUUCAAAUGGUAAUCACAGCCUGAGUCACACCCUUAGCUAAACUCUAUUAAAGUAUGAUACAAAAGAAACUACAGCAUUUCCAUGACUCUUUAAACUGACCUUUAUUAUUCCCUCUCUUUCUGCUUCCUUCCUGUCCAUCUGUCUGAUCCUCAGCGUGUGGAGGUGAGUGAGCCAUUCAGCUGCAGCAGAAGAGGGUGGACAGAAGGGCUGUGAUUUAGCAUGAGUCACAGCGGUACACUAUACCACAUAUGCUGCUGCCGAGUCUGUAGUGAGAGCUCUCAGUCUCAUAUAUUAUAUAUUUGUAAUAUGCUUCGGUGCAUGUGCCCUCGUUUAGCAUUUGUGUGAAGUUUAAAUGAGUGAAAUGCAUGAUCAUUUAACCUCAUGCACACCAAAAUAACAAAUAACAAAUUAAUUCCUGGGUCGGAGGUAUUAUUUAGUAACAAGAUGGUGUAAAAUACAAUGGUUCCUGAUGUUCCUCUUCAGAUAAAUCUUAAAAAAUCUUAAAAUUGACCUAAAGUAUCUUCCACUGUGUUUGUAAUGUUCCCUAUUUAUUUAAGUGCCUUUAUAAAUAGCUUUAAUAUUUAAUUUAUCUUUAUAAUUAUAUUAAUUGCCUAAACACAAUGCUCUGACCAAGGUAAUGGCCUUUUAUUAUGUUGUACCGUAAAACUUAAAUUACAAGCCAUCACAGGUCUCAGUUAGGUGCUGGCACCAUGUUGUUGGGUAUGCUUGUUCUCGUUACCUUGCUAGCUAUAAAAUAGAAGUGUCCCCACGUUUCUCUGCUUAGUGUUCACCGUUUUCAUCCUUUCUAAGUUAGGCUGCCGGUAUUUAGAUAGGGCUCUUUCUCUCUCUCAGUGCAAGCGGUUGGCCUAGAUACGCUGUUUCCCUGAGCUAGAUCAAAUGAAUGAUUUCUAAUUGUAUAUUGAAAAUAAAAUUUUGUACAAGUAAUAUUCAUACUGGUUUAAAUAAACAAGUAUUUCCCAUCUUUGCUGGGCAAAGGAAUUAAAGUCCUGUCCCGUAUAAACGCCUGUCCAAAAUAUGCAGGUUGAGUUCAGCCAUAGAAGCAAAUAAAAGCCUGGGCUAUUAAUUGAGGUUUUACAGUAUAUUAUAUAUACAUGCUAGACUUAACUACAUACGUUCAAUCAAUAAAUCCAAUCUUAAUGUAUUCACG
rnacentral:lncRNA from 15 species